ACGAAGCACUUUUACAGAUUUCUUCGGAAUGAAGUUUUAGUGACUGAGUGGCGGACGGGUGAGUAACGCGUGGGUAACCUGCCUCACACAGGGGGAUAACAGUUGGAAACGGCUGCUAAUACCGCAUAAGCGCACAGUACCGCAUGGUACAGUGUGAAAAACUCCGGUGGUGUAAGAUGGACCCGCGUUGGAUUAGCUGGUUGGUGGGGUAACGGCCCACCAAGGCGACGAUCCAUAGCCGGCCUGAGAGGGUGAACGGCCACAUUGGGACUGAGACACGGCCCAGACUCCUACGGGAGGCAGCAGUGGGGAAUAUUGCACAAUGGGGGAAACCCUGAUGCAGCGACGCCGCGUGAAGGAAGAAGUAUCUCGGUAUGUAAACUUCUAUCAGCAGGGAAGAUAGUGACGGUACCUGACUAAGAAGCCCCGGCUAACUACGUGCCAGCAGCCGCGGUAAUACGUAGGGGGCAAGCGUUAUCCGGAUUUACUGGGUGUAAAGGGAGCGUAGACGGUGUGGCAAGUCUGAUGUGAAAGGCAUGGGCUCAACCUGUGGACUGCAUUGGAAACUGUCAUACUUGAGUGCCGGAGGGGCAAGCGGAAUUCCUAGUGUAGCGGUGAAAUGCGUAGAUAUUAGGAGGAACACCAGUGGCGAAGGCGGCUUA
rnacentral:rRNA from 1 species